UUUGUCCAAUGUUUGCUGGGAUUUCCUAUGUACAUGGGACAGUUAGCAUAGCAUUUUUUGGCAUUCCACAUCAAACCAGUUUUUCCGUUGGUUUCCUUGUGUGGUACUAAGUACCUCUGUGGCUGUUGAAUUGACCACCUCGUGGACUUGUUGCCACCAUAUUUUCAAAUUUUCUCCAGUUGGGUGUCCUUCGCUGUAUGUUCAGCCGCAUGGCUCUCUCACGCCUAUAACCGGUGAUACUGGACAGCCUUCUCUUACGAAUCUUUCAGCGAAUCUUACCUUAGCGAAUCCUACAUAUCACCAGAUAGUGGUCAGAGUCGAUAUUUGGGCCUCGGAAGGUCCUCACAUCUAUGACAUCUGAGAAAUGCCGACCGUCCACCAAAACAUGAUCGAUUUGAGAACACGUAUCGCCAUUUGGGUGUCUCCAGGUGUGCUUUCGAAUAUUCUUGCGUGCAAAAUAGGUGCUACAGAUAGCCAUUCCUCUGGCUGCGGCAAAAUUGACUAGCCUCAGGCCGUUGUCAUUGGUAGUUGCGUAGAGGCCAUACUUUCCACUGAGCGAAAGGACUCUUCCCUGUGCCGACCUGUGCGUUUGCGUCAUAAAUUCCAUAUCGUGUUCUAGGCAUUCCGUAGGUCGAGACGCUCAUAGAACUCGUUAUUCGCAUUAUCGGGUUUGUUGGUGCAAAUAACAUUAUCGGCAAGCUGUAGUUGAAGAAUUUGCCCUUAAUACUCAGCAUGCAGAUGCGAUCACUUACCGGCCUUCAUCUAAUGAAUCGACGCUGCUGCUUAUCUAGCAACACUACGAAACCAACUCCAAGCUCCGCCUUCUUGCUCCCACUGUAGUAGAUGUAAUACUUAAAUGAUGUAUGUACUCACAAUUGGGUCAACUGCGCGGAAUUCCCGUGCUGCAACCUUCACCUUCACCUUUUGCAGCUCUCGAACAAGGAGGGCAACUCGUGCAGGUUCCAACCGGGUCCUAACGUUCCAAGUAUCGAGUUUCCAAUCAGUUUCCGUUAAACAUUGCCGUGUCCUUCGCCGAUUGUUCAAUCUUGUAUUUUCUAUUACAUUUUUUGGGAUUGAUUGUUGGUUUUUCGGUAUGCUGCCUUAACAGGGCUAGGAUUGGAUUCUAACGGAAUUCACCAAGCAAUUCCGAUAUCUAAUCGAAUCCGACUUCUUCGCACAAUGCUUUACAAAUAGCCUAAGCAAUAAGCAUGUUUUGCUCUGCCAAGUUACAUGCUCUUAGACAGAAAUUGCUGUCAAAGUUUUUCAUAUUAGGAUCUUCAGGACGUAAUGAAACUCUUAAACCUCAGAUGUUUAUGCUGGAAAGCCAACAUCCCGACGAACAAUUUUGUAAAAGAAACUGCACAUCUAACUCUCUCCUUUAAUUUUAUGUGUUCAAUUUAAAGUGAUUGGAGCAUACAUGAUCCAUCGGAACUGAAGGGUUUGAAGAACUAAACAAUACUAGCCCCUGAUUUCAGAAACCGUUAUUUAUCCAAAAGGAAAACUGUUUGUUCGUUUAUUUUUUCUUCAAAUUAUUAUAAAACCCAUAUUUAUUCACCUAGUAAAGACACUGCAAUUUUCGCAUUUAUCCAAGACACCAACCUUUUGAUUUGAUACACAAUUUUUCACACAACUAUUAAACGCGAUAGCUAAUUGCUAUUAAUUGAAUAGUUACCAUCAAGGCUAUCUAUCAAAUGCAACUUUAUUGCGAGAAAAUCGGUUCAGAAUUAUACAUCAGAGAAAUAGAAAUCCGUGUCAAGCAAAACAUAUAACAAACUUGCUAGUUGGACUAGGAUUUAUAGCAGCUAAUUGCAUAACACGAACCUCUGUGAUUAAAAUCACUGUUUUCGUCAUAGCUUCUAAAUGAAAUUGUAAAUAAUCUUAAAACGAUAAUAGUGUCAAACUAAGAAAGAUUUUUCGCGUUGCAUUCAAAUUGGUUGAGUCUAACUGUAUAGAAAGUUGUACCGAGGGGCUAUCACUCAAAAAACGACUAUUUUAAAGAUGAAGUCCCACAGUGUAGUAAUAUACUGUCCGUCCGGGCCUUCCAGUCAAUAACUAACCCAAGCAACCAGAAGUUCAGAUUUUACUUAAAUUUACUCUUAACCGAACUAAUUGGUUCACUAUGGUGCACAUCAAGUUCCAAGCAUCCUUAACGAAACUUUAAAGUUCACUUUUACGCUCCCACCAUACGAAAAAUUACUUAAAAUGAGAGCUGAUUAAGCCAAAAUAGCCCUUCUUAUCCGAACUUCUGGUUGCUUGGGAAGAAGCUUUUCCAGAAUGCAAAUAUUUAGUUCCGUUUAUUUAAGCUCAUUAGGACUUAAAUUCGCCUACUAUGGUCCAUGGUCCAUGGGGUCACAGGGGCGUUUCCUCCAUCAAUGCACCUAGAUAAAACUCGAUGGUAUAGGAAAUGAGAAUGCCUCUACAAUGUUGUAAAAUUUGUUGAAGUGAAGCACUGAAGUCAUUUAAAAAUUUAAAGGAAUAAAGGGAAAAAAAAGAAAAAACGGUUAAUUUUAUAUUUAAACAAUUUUUGGUCUGUGGGGUUCUAAAUUCAACAUUCUUAAGGAUUUGCUGCUUUUUCAAAAUGAAAUAUGAAUAUCGAGAUAAUAUAGGUACCUAUCUAUAUACAUAAAAAUGAAUUUCUGUCUGUCUGAACCUUAUAGACUCCGAAACUAAUGAACCGAUCGGCGUGAAAAUUAGUAUGCAGAGGUUUUUGGGGCCGGUGGAAGUUUCUUAAGAUGGUUCGAGACCCCUCCUUCCUUUGAAAUGCGGGGCUCUCAUACAAAUGAAACAUAUAUUUCUGCAUAACUCGAGAACUAAGCGGAGAAUAAAUCCAUUUUAGGCGAUACGAAGUUCGUCGGGUCUGCUAGUUUUGCAUAAAUGCAUAAUUUUAUAAUUCGAAACCCUAUGUAACUAAUUUGUGUGAUUUUAAAAUUCUAAAUCAAAUCCAGAUUUUUUUUGGAAAUAAUCUCCUAUUUAAAUAAAGACAAUAAUCAUCCGCGUGAAAGCCGACUUCAACUGUAUCUACCGCUUUUCUAUAGGAAUUGAAACUCUAUAAAUAAAUCAAAAUAAUAGACCUGUGCAGUGAACCGAACCUCUAUUGUUUUUAUCUCAAUAAAAAAUAUUGAGCGUCUUUCACUUUCACGAGGAGCUGGUUUCCUCAAUUUCAACCAAAAAUAAUCUAAUUUAAUAAGGAAUCGUAAAGUAUACGAUAUAAAUUUGUUUUCGGUGAUCAUGACGAGCAUAGCAAAAGAUGUCUGGCGAGCACGAGGCCGGCGCCACCCUGGUUUGCGUACCUGGGCUACUUUGAAAGUAAUUUGGAAGCGAAAUACCGUGCGGAAGAAGUGAAGUUGAUUGAAUGAAGAGGCUAGUCAAGUGUUAAUUUGUUUUUGGGUAAAGGUGAUCGUUUUCCGGACCUUGCCCAAACGAAAAGCUAACCAUCGCAAAGGAUUUCUUUAUUUUUUAUUGGUGUGCACUACGCAAAGGUAACGACAUACAAAUUAUGAACUUUGUUUUUGGACUCAUUGAAAUCCAAAAUUUUAUUCGUGAGCAUUUUUCAAGGAUAUAUAUAAUAGCACCUGUGUUAUUCAUUAUUUUAAUACGUUUAUCUGUUAGCAUUAUUUAUUUAGUAUUCCAAAUGUAAUAUAUUCAAUUUUAACCUAAUCCGGCGAUAGAUAGUGUUCGAGUAGAAGAAAUCAUUAUCUAUAAGUGAUUCGUAUAAAUAAAGCAACUAGUGUA